rnacentral:rRNA from 1 species
UACGGGGGGGGCAAGCGUUGUUCGGAAUUACUGGGCGUAAAGGGCUCGUAGGCGGCCAACUAAGUCGGAUGUGAAAUCCCCAGGCUUAACCUGGGAACUGCAUCCGAUACUGGAUGGCUUGAAUCCGGGAGAGGGAUGCAGAAUUCCAGGUGUAGCGGUGAAAUGCGUAGAUAUCGGAAGGAACAUCAGUGGCGAAGGCGACUUCCUGGACCAAUACUGACGCUCAGGUGCGAAAGCGUGGGGAGCAAACAGG